GAAGGAAAAGAUCCUGGGAACGAAGAUUGUAAGAGACCUAAAAUAGCCUUGUAUAUGAAGAUAUGCCAGUGUUGAAGUCUCCGUGUUGAUAAAGAAGGCCAUCCAACACGUUCAUACAGUUCACAAU